GAAUCGCCGGGCGCAACGGACGCGGCGGUCCCGCCCUUUUUCAGAUGCGAGCAGCCAAUGGGAGCGCCGUGCGAGGCGGCGUACCGGAAGUGGAAAGUCCGUCCCGCGCAGUGAGGAGUGGACUCUCGGUCAACUUUACUACAGAUGUGAAACGUUUGAGUGACCUCCUAGCGUUCGCCCCGCCCCGCGCGCUUCCUUCCUGUGGCAGAGGGGCGGGGCCAGACGACACGUCGACCGCACGUCUCCAGGGCCGGUGUUUGAUACAAAUGAUACGGGUUGUUUUCAUUCAUGUGAGGCUACAAUUAUAAUAUUCCUAUAUCAAGUGUGUAUAAAAAAAACAGGCAAUCUGUUUGGAGAUCUCUCAUCCAUUCGGUGUGAUAAUCUUGUCAGGAGCAUGGCUGGAUUAAACAUUUAGACUGAACUCAAACCCAAAUGGGAGGCCAGCCGAUUGCCGGCCUUGUUUGGAGACUGAUUUGGUGUAGGCUCAUUAUAUAUUCUUUGGAGUCUAUAUAGCAUUGAAUGAAACUUUUGUGAGAUAAUUCUUCAUUGAUUUAUGUUUGAGGGACCAGGAAUGAAGGUGUGCUUAAGCAGAACGGAGAUGUUUUUACAACUGUGUUCUGGGCUACAAAGGUAGAUUAUUUACGGUUACUUGUAUAUUUUAUUAAAACGUUUUUUUUAUAAAGGCUGCUUUUUGUAUAUUAAUGUAUUAUUGUUUGUUUUACUUUUAAACAAAGACUUGAGUACCCACCUGCUGUUUUUCCCUUGUUAGGUGUAAAUUUCCUACUAUGUGAAUACUUACUCAAUAAUAUAAAUACAGAUAUACAUGUACAUAUGCCCUAAACAUACAACAAAUUCAGAAACUACAAAGUUACCCAAAGUGACCAGUUGCACUUUGGAUUGAUAGCAGACUACCUCAGAGAACAUCACGACAUUUGUACACCAGGUUAUAAGGCCACAUAAGACCAAAUAAGGACAUUCUGAUGUAGGAUUUCAAAAUCUCAGAGUUUUUAUCAAUUCACAUUAAUGAAGCCAAAUACCCUCUAAUUUUAGGUGUAAGAGGAUAUGGUCCAAAAAUAAUUUAGGAUAUCACAUCAACGUGUCACUAAGAGAGUUAAGACCAUCAGAUGUAGAAUGUAUCUCUUAAUUUCACAUUAGAUUUAAAUAGAAAUGGUCCGUAGUUAUAAAAAAAAAAGUCCACAAAAUAUUAAUAAUUGACAAACUCAAGGUGUCCCUAAAAGCAAAUCUGCACAGUCUGAGUCAACAGUUUUGAAAGUUAUUCAUUACAUACGAUGUCAUUCAUUGAUUUAGUUACAUUCAUUGACAAUGAAUCUAAGACAUACAGAUGUAUUGACUGAAUUAUUAAAUGAAUGUGACAUGCCUCUUGGCUCUUGAAGUCACCUCCUCACGCUGGUUUUGACGAGUCGUGUCGAGAAUCCAACUUGCCUGUAUUUUUUGUUAUUUGGUUUGAGUGACCUUGGCGUGCCGUGAGAAGGGUACGUUUCAUUGGAUGUGGUUUGUAUACUCUGGAGAUUGUUUGAUAAUUUGACUCCAUAUUUUGUGACAAUUUCCCCAUUUCGCGAAUCACUCCACACUGCCUGCUGGUGAAAAUGACUACACCGUUGAUUAUUUAUUUUCUUGUUCAUUUGUCUUGAUUUACGUAUUAACUGUACCGUUCAUUCCAACACUUUUUUAUUAUGACCUGCCUUUAGAACUUCCAUUGAAACUCACGUGUUGAGCGGAGACAACUUCCAUUCCAAGGAUUGCCAAUAAAAUGUAUAUUAUGCAUAUG